GCUCACCGGACCCUUGGCUGUGCUGGCACAGCACACAUCGCCCUUGCUGUGCUCAUGUGUGUCUAACUGCCUACAACAGAGGGAUGGGGAUGUAUUCAAGACAACCUCUGGGGAUCCAUUUGCCUGCACACAUAAAAGUCCAAUAAGACACGGACAGGAGUUUCCAGCAAAGGAACUAAAGACUUAUUUAAGGAACUGGCACCAAACCUGGAGACACAGGGUCUGCCUUAUUUCAUCACACUGGCUUUCUUCACAAAGCAGGAAAUGCAUUAUUACAACUCUGAUCACCAUGACUAAGGAGGCUUGCUCUCUGUUCCAGAAAAGAACUCGUUCCAAGGAUCAGGGUCUGAGGUGGGGCAUCAAACAAAGAUGACUGGAUGAAGUUUCCCUCCCAGCCCAGGGCUGGGCCAGGUGGACUAGAGAGAAGCUCACAGUUCCCCCUGGCAACACGCACUUAGAGGAGCGGGAACAUAAUGUCCCUGAAGAAAGCAGUUGUUGAAAUGUGUACACAAAAGUCUGAAGGUCCAUUGUCACUGUUGGAGCCAAUCUCUGCAAGUGUGUCCUGCACUGCGGGAGGGGAACAUUGCUGGAGGUUCGGCCAGUGGCUCUCC